GUGCUUGCUUCGGCAACACAAAUACUAAAAUUGGAAGAUACAGAAAAGAUUAGCAUGGCCCCUGCACAAGGAUGACACGCAAAUUUGUGACGCAUUCUAUAUUUUU